GACGAACGCUGGCGGCGUGCUUAACACAUGCAAGUCGAGCGAUGAAACUUCUUCGGAAGUGGAUUAGCGGCGGACGGGUGAGUAACACGUGGGCAACCUGCCUCAUAGUGGGGAAUAGCCUCUCGAAAGGGAGAUUAAUACCGCAUAAGAUUGUAGUUCCGCAUGGAACAGCAAUUAAAGGAUUUAUUCGCUAUGAGAUGGGCCCGCGGCGCAUUAGCUAGUUGGUGAGGUAACGGCUCACCAAGGCGACGAUGCGUAGCCGACCUGAGAGGGUGAUCGGCCACAUUGGGACUGAGACACGGCCCAGACUCCUACGGGAGGCAGCAGUGGGGAAUAUUGCACAAUGGGGGAAACCCUGAUGCAGCAACGCCGCGUGAGUGAUGACGGUCUUCGGAUUGUAAAGCUCUGUCUUUAGGGACGAUAAUGACGGUACCUAAGGAGGAAGCCACGGCUAACUACGUGCCAGCAGCCGCCGUAA
rnacentral:rRNA from 1 species